AGUAUUAGUUAUGGUCUUAAAACCUAAAGAAUUUGGCGGUGUUUUAUUCUAUUCAGAGGAACUUGUCCCGUUAUCGAUAGUCCUCGUUAUAUCUUGCUUUGUUUAGUAUUACAGUAUGUAUACCGCCGUUAAAGGUUUAUUUUUUAAGAAUUUAAUUUACUUUAUAUUUAAUUAAAUUUUAUUUCAGGUCAAGGUGCAGCUAAUAACUAAGUGGUGAUGAGUUACAAUAUUAUUUGAAUAUAUGGAUUUGUACUUUAAAAUUUCAUUGAAAGUGGAUUUGUUAGUAAUUUUAUUUAUUUAAUUAUUAUGAUUUUAGUUCUAAAACAAGUACACAUCGCCCGAUCGCUCU
rnacentral:rRNA from 1 species